rnacentral:rRNA from 1 species
AGUGAACGCUGGCGGUAGGCCUAACACAUGCAAGUCGAACGGCAGCACAGUAAGAGCUUGCUCUUACGGGUGGCGAGUGGCGGACGGGGGAGGAAUACAUCGGAAUCUACUUUUUCGGGGGGGAUAACGUAGGGAAACUUACGCUAAUACCGCAUACGACCUACGGGUGAAAGCAGGGGAUCUUCGGACCUUGCGCGAUUGAAUGAGCCGAUGUCGGAUUAGCUAGUUGGCGGGGUAAAGGCCCACCAAGGCGACGAUCCGUAGCUGCUCUGAGAGGAUGAUCAGCCAGCCUGGCUCUGAGACACGGUCCCCACUCCUGCGGGAGGACGCAGUGGGGAAUAUUGGACGAUGGGCGCAAGCCUGAUCCAGCCCUACCGCGUGGGUGAAGAAGGCCUUCGGGUUGUAGAGCCCUUUUGUUGGGAAAGAAGAGCAGCAGGUUAAUCCCCCACUGUUCUGACGGUACCCAAAGAAUAAGCACCGGCUAACUUCGUG